GAUGAACGCUAGCUACAGGCUUAACACAUGCAAGUCGAGGGGCAGCAUGGUCUUAGCUUGCUAAGGCCGAUGGCGACCGGCGCACGGGUGAGUAACACGUAUCCAACCUGCCGUCUACUCUUGGACAGCCUUCUGAAAGGAAGAUUAAUACAAGAUGGCAUCAUGAGUCCGCAUGUUCACAUGAUUAAAGGUAUUCUGGUAGACGAUGGGGAUGCGUUCCAUUAGAUAGUAGGCGGGGUAACGGCCCACCUAGUCUUCGAUGGAUAGGGGUUCUGAGAGGAAGGUCCCCCACAUUGGAACUGAGACACGGUCCAAACUCCUACGGGAGGCAGCAGUGAGGAAUAUUGGUCAAUGGGCGCAGGCCUGAACCAGCCAAGUAGCGUGAAGGAUGACUGCCCUAUGGGUUGUAAACUUCUUUUAUAAAGGAAUAAAGUCGGGUAUGCAUACCCGUUUGCAUGUACUUUAUGAAUAAGGAUCGGCUAACUCCGUGCCAGCAGCCGCGGUAAUACGGAGGAUCCGAGCGUUAUCCGGAUUUAUUGGGUUUAAAGGGAGCGUAGAUGGAUGUUUAAGUCAGUUGUGAAAGUUUGCGGCUCAACCGUAAAAUUGCAGUUGAUACUGGAUAUCUUGAGUGCAGUUGAGGCAGGCGGAAUUCGUGGUGUAGCGGUGAAAUGCUUAGAUAUCACGAAGAACUCCGAUUGCGAAGGCAGCCUGCUAAGCUGCAACUGACAUUGAGGCUCGAAAGUGUGGGUAUCAAACAGGAUUAGAUACCCUGGUAGUCCACACGGUAAACGAUAAAGGCUCGCCUGUUUGCGAUAUACGGCAAGCGGCCAAGCGAAAGCAUUAAGUAAUUCCACCUGGGGAGUACGCCGGCAACGGUGAAACUCAAAGGAAUUGACGGGGGCCCGCACAAGCGGAGGAACAUGUGGUUUAAUUCGAUGAUACGCGAGGAACCUUACCCGGGCUUAAAUUGCAGAUGAAUUACGGUGAAAGCCGUAAGCCGCAAGGCAUCUGUGAAGGUGCUGCAUGGUUGUCGUCAGCUCGUGCCGUGAGGUGUCGGCUUAAGUGCCAUAACGAGCGCAACCCUUGUUGUCAGUUACUAACAGGUUCCGCUGAGGACUCUGACAAGACUGCCAUCGUAAGAUGUGAGGAAGGUGGGGAGGACGUCAAAUCAGCACGGCCCUUACGUCCGGGGCUACACAUGUGUUACAAUGGGGGGUACAGAGGGCCGCUACCACGCGAGUGGAUGCCAAUCCCAAAAACCUCUCUCAGUUCGGACUGGAGUCUGCAACCCGACUCCACGAAGCUGGAUUCGCUAGUAAUCGCGCAUCAGCCACGGCGCGGUGAAUACGUUCCCGGGCCUUGCACA
rnacentral:rRNA from 1 species